rnacentral:tRNA from 1 species
GGAAGCGUGCCAGAGCCCGGUUGAUCGGGCCCGCCUUGAAAGCGGGUAGGGUCGCAAGACUCUCGGGGGUUCGAAUCCCUCCGCUUCCGCCA